GGGUUGUGAGGUUAAGCGACUAAGCGUACACGGUGGAUGCCCUGGCAGUCAGAGGCGAUGAAGGACGUGCUAAUCUGCGAAAAGCGUCGGUAAGGUGAUAUGAACCGUUACAGCCGGCGAUGUCCGAAUGGGGAAACCCAGUGCAAUUCGUUGCACUAUCGUUAACUGAAUACAUAGGUUAACGAGGCGAACCGGGGGAACUGAAACAUCUAAGUACCCCGAGGAAAAGAAAUCAACCGAGAUUCCCCCAGUAGCGGCGAGCGAACGGGGAGCAGCCCAGAGUCUGAAUCAGCUUGUGUGUUAGUGGAACGGUCUGGAAAGUCCGACGGUACAGGGUGAUAGUCCCGUACACCAAAAUGCACAGGCUGUGAACUCGAAGAGUAGGGCGGGACACGUGGUAUCCUGUCUGAAUAUGGGGGGACCAUCCUCCAAGGCUAAAUACUCCUGACUGACCGAUAGUGAACCAGUACCGUGAGGGAAAGGCGAAAAGAACCCCGGCGAGGGGAGUGAAAAAGAACCUGAAACCGUGUACGUACAAGCAGUGGGAGCACCUUCGGGUGUGACUGCGUACCUUUUGUAUAAUGGGUCAGCGACUUAUAUUCUGUAGCAAGGUUAACCGUAUAGGGGGAGCCGCAGGGGAAACCGAGUCUUAACUGGGCGUUAAGUUGCAGGGUAUAGACCCGAAACCCGGUGAUCUAGCCAUGGGCAGGUUGAAGGUUGGGUAACACUAACUGGAGGACCGAACCGACUAAUGUUGAAAAAAUUAGCGGAUGACUUGUGGCUGGGGGUGAAAGGCCAAUCAAACCGGGAGAUAGCUGGUUCUCCCCGAAAGCUAUUUAGGUAGCGCCUCGUGAACUCAUCUUCGGGGGUAGAGCACUGUUUCGGCUAGGGGGUCAUCCCGACUUACCAACCCGAUGCAAACUACGAAUACCGAAGAAUGUUAUCACGGGAGACACACGGCGGGUGCUAACGUCCGUCGUGAAGAGGGAAACAACCCAGACCGCCAGCUAAGGUCCCAAAGUCAUGGUUAAGUGGGAAACGAUGUGGGAAGGCACAGACAGCCAGGAUGUUGGCUUAGAAGCAGCCAUCAUUUAAAGAAAGCGUAAUAGCUCACUGGUCGAGUCGGCCUGCGCGGAAGAUGUAACGGGGCUAAACCAUGCACCGAAGCUGCGGCAGCGACACUAUGUGUUGUUGGGUAGGGGGAGCGUUCUGUAAGCCUGCGAAGGUGUGCUGUGAGGCAUGCUGGAGGUAUCAGAAGUGCGAAUGCUGACAUAAGUAACGAUAAAGCGGGUGAAAAGCCCGCUCGCCGGAAGACCAAGGGUUCCUGUCCAACGUUAAUCGGGGCAGGGUGAGUCGACCCCUAAGGCGAGGCCGAAAGGCGUAGUCGAUGGGAAACAGGUUAAUAUUCCUGUACUUGGUGUUACUGCGAAGGGGGGACGGAGAAGGCUAUGUUAGCCGGGCGACGGUUGUCCCGGUUUAAGCAUGUAGGCUGAUUGUCCAGGCAAAUCCGGAUAAUCAAGGCUGAGGUGUGAUGACGAGGCACUACGGUGCUGAAGUAACAAAUGCCCUGCUUCCAGGAAAAGCCUCUAAGCAUCAGGUAACAUUAAAUCGUACCCCAAACCGACACAGGUGGUCAGGUAGAGAAUACCAAGGCGCUUGAGAGAACUCGGGUGAAGGAACUAGGCAAAAUGGUGCCGUAACUUCGGGAGAAGGCACGCUGGUGUGUAGGUGAAGUCCCUGCGGAUGGAGCUGAGACCAGUCGAAGAUACCAGCUGGCUGCAACUGUUUAUUAAAAACACAGCACUGUGCAAACACGAAAGUGGACGUAUACGGUGUGACGCCUGCCCGGUGCCGGAAGGUUAAUUGAUGGGGUUAUCCGUAAGGAGAAGCUCUUGAUCGAAGCCCCGGUAAACGGCGGCCGUAACUAUAACGGUCCUAAGGUAGCGAAAUUCCUUGUCGGGUAAGUUCCGACCUGCACGAAUGGCGUAAUGAUGGCCAGGCUGUCUCCACCCGAGACUCAGUGAAAUUGAACUCGCUGUGAAGAUGCAGUGUACCCGCGGCAAGACGGAAAGACCCCGUGAACCUUUACUAUAGCUUGACACUGAACAUUGAGCCUUGAUGUGUAGGAUAGGUGGGAGGCUUUGAAGCGUGGACGCCAGUCUGCGUGGAGCCAACCUUGAAAUACCACCCUUUAAUGUUUGAUGUUCUAACGUUGGCCCCUGACCGGGGUUGCGGACAGUGUCUGGUGGGUAGUUUGACUGGGGCGGUCUCCUCCCAAAGCGUAACGGAGGAGCACGAAGGUUAGCUAAUCCUGGUCGGACAUCAGGAGGUUAGUGCAAUGGCAUAAGCUAGCUUGACUGCGAGCGUGACGGCGCGAGCAGGUGCGAAAGCAGGUCAUAGUGAUCCGGUGGUUCUGAAUGGAAGGGCCAUCGCUCAACGGAUAAAAGGUACUCCGGGGAUAACAGGCUGAUACCGCCCAAGAGUUCAUAUCGACGGCGGUGUUUGGCACCUCGAUGUCGGCUCAUCACAUCCUGGGGCUGAAGUAGGUCCCAAGGGUAUGGCUGUUCGCCAUUUAAAGUGGUACGCGAGCUGGGUUUAGAACGUCGUGAGACAGUUCGGUCCCUAUCUGCCGUGGGCGCUGGAGAAUUGAGGGGGGCUGCUCCUAGUACGAGAGGACCGGAGUGGACGCAUCACUGGUGUUCGGGUUGUCAUGCCAAUGGCACUGCCCGGUAGCUAAAUGCGGAAGAGAUAAGUGCUGAAAGCAUCUAAGCACGAAACUUGCCCCGAGAUGAGUUCUCCCUGAGACUUUAAGUCUCCUGAAGGAACGUUGAAGACGACGACGUUGAUAGGCCGGGUGUGUAAGCGCAGCGAUGCGUUGAGCUAACCGGUACUAAUGAACCGUGAGGCUUAACCUUACAACGCCGAAG
rnacentral:rRNA from 1 species